UCUGAUGCCUUUAGYGACUGUAUUUAGGUUGCAUGAUGAAUAUAGCAUCGAAGGCCUGCUAACUUUACUCUUAAUUAUCUUUUCUUUUCCUGGUAUCCUUUAGCUGGUGAACAGGCUUUCAGAUCUAGAGGUGUAGUUCUUUUUGUUCAGUCUGCCCUUUUUUAAGGUCUCUAGUUACAAAUAUCACACCUUGCAGCGGCCAUUUGCCGAGUUAAAGCUGGCGCAUCUACAACCGUGGCUGUUGUCCUCGCUUCCCGCAGCCGCCGGCCUCUGAACAGCCAGCGUUCCUGAUCGUAGCUGUGCCRCCGACUCCCUCCGUGCUCCUCGGCCAGUCGUCUCGCUCUGUCGGUGCUGUGCGUCGGCACUGCCACGGGUCCGGGCUCAGCUGGGUGAUCUCGGAGCUGCUUGGAAGYGCUCGCCGAGGAAUCGUUGCAGGUCCUGCCCUCCGGCUGUGCAGAAAGGCACGUCUCUGAGCUUCCUCCCUGGGAGAGCAGGGCUCUGCGUCCACGUCAUCUGCACGGGCGGCUCCAAAGGCAACGUCUGAUCUCCCGUCYGUGCUGCGCUGACCCGGGGAAUGGAUGCUCCCUCCCAGAGAAGGAGGACAGAGCUGCUGAUGACAACUGACCUCAGUGCAUGUAAGCAAAUCUCAAAAUAAAACCUGCAUUAGCCUUCRCAUAUUGGUAUUGCUGUGCUCUGUUCUGUGCCGCUUGACAAGGGUUACUUAAAAGAAUUUACGUUAUGUUAUCUGAACUAUUUUGUAUGUCCAGGUACUCUGGGAUAAAAGCAUAUUGCUGUCCUGUAAUUGCGGGCAUCCUCAGAUCCUCUCGAGGCUUGAUGAGUACUCUGCUGGAUCAAAGUCUCCUCUCCGGUGGUGAUUUGUUUAAACUCUUGACUGCAGCGAGCAAAAGGAUAAGGACCGCAAGGAGGGAAGAGAGGAUUUGGGGUUCUCRCCAUCGCGGAACGACUAAGGCAGGCUGUGAGCAGGCUCCUCGCUGGCGAUACUGGACACAGCUCGCUGCAACGCUGCUUUUCCACCCGCUGACUGUCUGCCCCUCUCUGCCAGCCAAACUGGUGCUUAAUUGGUAAGGAAAUUAGCCAGCAGCAUCCUAGAUCU
rnacentral:lncRNA from 1 species